UAUUUUUGGUAUUUAAAUUAUUCUUGUAUCUAUCAGUAUCUUUACUAUCUUAUAGGCUCUAAUCAUUCCAAUUCAAUCUGUUCCUUAUUUUUAUAUGACAGUCCAUGAAGGAUUGAAUUUUAAUGUGAUUAUUGGUGACAAGAGGUUUGUUUUGCAUUCCAAAUUAUCAGUAGGUUAAUUUCCAUGUUUCCUGUAUGUAAUUUUGUUGAAUAAGUAUUAGGUUCUAGUCAUUUUAUUGAAAUCAUUUGUUUUUAUGUGCCAAUCAAGUAUUAGGUUCUAGUCAUUUUAUUGAAAUAAUUUGUUUUUAUGUGCCAAUCAAGUAUUAGGUUCUAGUCAUUUUAUUGAAAUCAUUUGUAACUUAAUGUGCCAAUCAAGGAAAGUGUUUUAUAUAAUUUUGAAUCUUGUUUACAGAAGUGUACUAGCAGUGCAUAAUUUUGAUUAAUACAAUACUGUUGAUUUUGUUUUAACAAUGAGUUUGUUGAUUAUUUUGAAAUAGCGAUUACCUUGGUCUGUUUCAUCAAAACAUUUUUCAUAUCACUAGACUUCAGGAUUUGGUUGAUAGAGACACCAUACCGGUACAUAGAAUUUAUUAUUGUUAUACAUAUGCAUUCUUAAUGAAUGAUAGAGUUUAUCGUUGAAAUGAUUUGCUCAUGCAGGUAAAUUUGAAAUUAAUAAUAUAUGGUUGCAAAAAGGUUG